rnacentral:rRNA from 1 species
UACGGAGGGAGCUAGCGUUGUUCGGAAUUACUGGGCGUAAAGCGCGCGUAGGCGGCUUUGUAAGUUAAAGGUGAAAGCCCGGGGCUCAACCCCGGAAUUGCCUUUAAGACUGCAUCGCUUGAAUCCGGGAGAGGUGAGUGGAAUUCCGAGUGUAGAGGUGAAAUUCGUAGAUAUUCGGAAGAACACCAGUGGCGAAGGCGGCUCACUGGACCGGCAUUGACGCUGAGGUGCGAAAGCGUGGGGAGCAAACAGG